CAGUCGCCGCGGUAAUACGUAGGGCGCAAGCGUUAUCCGGAAUUAUUGGGCGUAAAGAGUUCGUAGGCGGUUUGUCGCGUCUGCCGUGAAAGUCCGGGGCUCAACCCCGGAUCUGCGGUGGGUACGGGCAGACUAGAGUGAUGUAGGGGAGACUGGAAUUCCUGGUGUAGCGGUGAAAUGCGCAGAUAUCAGGAGGAACACCGAUGGCGAAGGCAGGUCUCUGGGCAUUAACUGACGCUGAGGAGCGAAAGCAUGGGGAGCGAACAGGAUUAGAUACCCGCGUAGUCCCUGUCUCUUAUAC
rnacentral:rRNA from 1 species